CGCGCUCCACGUCAGCGCGCCGGCGCAGGCGGCCAGAUGCGUCGCGAGGAUCGCCAUCACGGCGCGCGAGUUGGCCUGCAAGGCGGAGCCGCCGUUGAAUCCGAACCAGCCGACCCACAACAGGCCGGUGCCGAUCACCGCCAGCGAAAGAUCGUAGGGCGCAAGGUUCUCGGUGCCGUAGCCGCGGCGUCGUCCCAUCACGACGGCUGCGACCAGACCCGCGGUGCCGGCGCUGAGAUGAACCACAAGGCCGCCGGCGAAAUCGAGAACGCCGGCCUGCGCGAGAAAGCCGCCGCCCCACACCCAGUGCGCGAGCGGAAUGUA
rnacentral:misc_RNA from 1 species